AGCUGUGUGCAGUGGUAGUAUCAUAGCCAAUGAGGUUUAUCUGAGGCAUGAUUAUUGCUAAUUGAAAAAAGGAACAGUUUAUGUAAUUAUAAAAGCAUUCUAUAAAUGUGCAUAAAAGUAUUGGAUAGUACACAAAUGA